AAAAAAUGAUGUUUAUGACUUCUAUUUUUUAUUCUGGCUUUAUCAAGAAAAACUUUGGUAGGUUUUGUGCGCUUAGCAAAAGCUUGUGCCAAAACGUGUUUGGUUAUUUAGGACUGUGGCAAUCCAGUUGUUAAAUUCUACAUGAUGAAACAUAAUGCAUACAGUACAGACAAAAAAUGAGAGAGAGUUUUUAUAAGAAAAAGAUUAUUAUAUUUAAUGCAUGUCAUUGCAGUUAACCUUUUUUCUUCUUCUUUUUCUAUUCUUUUUUUUUCUCCUUUGCUGUAUCUGUGGAUCAGCAAUGUAUCUUCCAAGCCCGUAUUUAAAUCAAGGAUGAGAUUUGAUGUAAAUUGCUAAAAAAUUGAUUGUAUUAAAACAGGUAAAUUCCAGAGCUUUUUGGGUUAUCCCAAAAACAUAUUUUGUUGUUUUAAAUGGCUUAAAAGCUGUAUUAAAUAGUGCUAAUUAUUUCAUUGUUUAUUUUUGUUUGUAGAAGAGGGGGGAGGGUGAGAUACGUUAAAAUAAAUGAUUUUUUGC
rnacentral:misc_RNA from 1 species